CCUANGGGUGGCAGCAGUGAGGAAUAUUGGUCAAUGGACGGAAGUCUGAACCAGCCAUCCCGCGUGCAGGAAGAAGGCGCUAUGCGUUGUAAACUGCUUUUCCGAGGGAAGAAAACCCCCGACGUGUCGGGGCUUGUCGGUACCUUGGGAAUAAGCAUCGGCUAACUCCGUGCCAGCAGCCGCGGUAAUACGGAGGUCCCAAGCGUUGUUCGGAUUCACUGGGCGUAAAGGGUGCGUAGGCGGUCGUGUAAGUCUAACGUGAAAUCUCCGAGCCUAACUCGGAAACUGCGUCGGAUACUAUUCGGCGAGAGGAAUGGAGGGGAGACUGGAAUUCUCGGUGUAGCAGUGAAAUGCGUAGAUAUCGAGAGGAACACCAGUGGCGAAGGCGAGUCUCUGGACAUUUCCUGACGCUGAGGCACGAAAGCCAGGGGAGCAAACGGGAUUAGAUACCCCGNUANUC
rnacentral:rRNA from 1 species